GAAUUGAAAUAAAUGCUUCAAAUAUUAUUUAUUAAAUUUCAAAAUUUAUUGUAAGAUUAUUAGAAAUUUAUUUGAGAUUUAAAAAAUUGAUUAGGAUUAGGUUUUGAUUAGGAUUAGGAUUUGGUUAGAAUUAGGAUUUGCUUAGAAUUAGGAUUUGAUUAGAGUUAGAAUUUGGUCUGAUUUAGGAUUUAAUUAGAGUUAGAAUUUGGUUUGAUUUAGGAUUUGAUUUGGAUUUCAUUAGGAUUUCUUCAGGAUUCUUUUAAGAUUCUU
rnacentral:lncRNA from 1 species